UACGGGGGGGGCAAGCGUUGUUCGGAAUUACUGGGCGUAAAGGGUUUGUAGGGGGCCGAUUAAGUCAUACGUGAAAUCCCUCAGCUUAACUGGGGAACUGCGUCUGAUACUGGUUGGCUUGAGUGCAGGAGAGGAACGCGGAAUUCCAGGUGUAGCGGUGAAAUGCGUAGAUAUCUGGAGGAACACCGGUGGCGAAGGCGGCAUCCUGGACCGGUAUUGACGCUGAGGCGCGAAAGCUAGGGGAGCAAACGGG
rnacentral:rRNA from 1 species